CUGCUCACUACAUUGAACUGCCCCUCCGACGGAGAACACCUUCACAGGGAUGGGGUUGCUGUAUGGUCCCCCUCAAGGGGACUUAUCAUCACAGCUUGCUCCUAACAUUCCUUCAUGCAUUUUAGUUGUCUGCAGCUGGUGCCUGUGGGAGACCCCACUGUGGUUCUUUUGUCCACAACUGAAGUAGCCAGGGGGGCGGCGGAGCACACAUCAGAGAUUCAGUGGAACCAAGAUUUGAGAGGGAUCUCCCUGCAUUACUGAGGAGAAAGACGAGAAGAUACAGAAAAGAGAAACUUGCCCAAAUCUGAGAGUGGAGCCAAAACGAGGAGGAGGGAGGAGGUGGCCAGAUGUGGGCCAGCCAAAACCCAGGGAGGCAGAGAUAUAUUCCUGAGGCAAGAGAUGUCCCAUUCAAACUAUCCCUAGAUAUUCCAAAUUCCUUUGAAAACAGGAGAAAUUAGCAUGUCUUGAAAGGCACAAGGGCAGGAAAUGAAGGAAGAGGAGAGGCCCAGCAUGGGGAAGUCAUUCUGGGCUGUGACAUCACAGGCAGCGCACCUGUCAGGGCAGUGGAGAACUGCCGCCUACUUCUUACCACUGAGGACCAGACUGUGCCUGUCUCCACCAUGGGCUCCGGGUUCCUCUGCUGUAUGGUCCUCUGCCUCCUGGGAGCAGCACCCCUGGACACAACAGUUUCCCAGACUCCAAGAUACCUCAUCGCGCACGUGGGAUCGAAGAAGUUACUAAAAUGUGAGCAAAAUCUGGGCCAUAAUGCUAUGUACUGGUAUAAGCAAGACCUCAAGCAACUGCUGAACGUUAUGUUUAUCUACAACAAUAAGGAACUCAUUCUAAAUGAAUCAGUUCCAGGUCGUUUCUCACCUGAGACAUCUGACAAAUCUCAUUUAAACCUUCAUGUCGACUCCCUGGAGACAGGUGACUCUGCUGUGUAUUUCUGUGCCAGCAGCCAAGACACAGCCCUACACACUCACUACACCCCUGUGCACAAACCCCCUGGCCCAGCCAGGAAGCUGUGGGGACUAUAUGUUCACAUGAACCUAAGCUCCAUUCACCACCACCCCCAAUGCCCUCGUGAGAUCUCUGAAUGGAGUUUCCAAUCUGUAGUACAGGCUGCCAACAUCCCUGAUGGGGCAGAUCUACAAUUAAGCUCUGACAAGUCUCACAGAAAUCCAUUUAUCACCUAG